CGAGAUGUCAGCCAGCCUGUCCAGCCGGGAAGAUGUUUUAUUUCCUGUCGAACACCACUUACGUGUGUACGGGUUCAACAUGGCUACCCUCUAGUACGAUUCCAGAUUGUGUCGGUGUGCACCAUCAAGACAGCGAGGGAUGCGAGAACGGGUCCGAGUACAGAGCCAACAUCUCCUCCUGUGUCCAGUGUCCAUCGGGGUG